rnacentral:rRNA from 1 species
UACGUAGGUGACUAGCGUUGUCCGGAUUUACUGGGCGUAAAGAGCGCGCAGGCGGUCGUUCAAGUCGAGUGUGAAAGCCCCCGGCUCAACUGGGGAGGGUCAUUCGAUACUGAUCGACUCGAAGGCAGGAGAGGGAAGCGGAAUUCCCGGUGUAGUGGUGAAAUGCGUAGAUAUCGGGAGGAACACCAGUGGCGAAGGCGGCUC